rnacentral:lncRNA from 1 species
UAGGAUGUAUUUUGGGGUAACUACACCUAGGUUAUAUAUAUAUAUUAUGAACUAAUUAUUAUUCGGAGGUGCUCAUAGUGGGAGGAGGCGUCGUCCGAAGGUGCUCGGUCAUAUAUACGGGCCGGUGGGGUAGGUCUUAUUACUACAUAAACAACCUAAUUAGCAAUUAGGAAAAAUAAAGAGAACAAGGAAAAAGGAAAAUGAAAAAGAAAAGAAUGUAAAUGAAAGACAAUUAGGAAAAGAAAAAGGAAAAC